AUUGAACGCUGGCGGCAUGCCUUACACAUGCGAGUCGAACGGCAGCACGGGUGCUUGCACCUGGUGGCGAGUGGCGAACGGGUGAGUAAUACAUCGGAACAUGUCCUGUAGUGGGGGAUAGCCCGGCGAAAGCCGGAUUAAUACCGCAUACGAUCUACGGAUGAAAGCGGGGGACCUUCGGGCCUCGCGCUAUAGGGUUGGCCGAUGGCUGAUUAGCUUGUUGGUGGGGUAAAGGCCUACCAAGGCGACGAUCAGUAGCUGGUCUGAGAGGACGACCAGCCACACUGGGACUGAGACACGGCCCAGACUCCUACGGGAGGCAGCAGUGGGGAAUUUUGGACAAUGGGCGAAAGCCUGAUCCAGCAAUGCCGCGUGUGUGAAGAAGGCCUUCGGGUUGUAAAGCACUUUUGUCCGGAAAGAAAUCCUUGGCCCUAAUACGGUCGGGGGAUGACGGUACCGGAAGAAUAAGCACCGGCUAACUACGUG
rnacentral:rRNA from 1 species